rnacentral:rRNA from 1 species
GGCUAACCUGCCCCCGGGACAGGGAUACCCCCGGGAAACUGGGGCUAAUCCCCGAUAGGUGAAGAAUCCUGGAACGGAUCCUCGCCCAAAAGACGCCUAGACCACGCUUCUAGGCGCCGCCCAAGGAUGGGGCCGCGUCCGAUCAGGUUGUUGGUGAGGUAAUGGCCCACCAAGCCUUUAACCGGUGCGGGCCGUGGGAGCGGGAGCCCGGAGAUGGGCACUGAGACAAGGGCCCAGGCCCUACGGGGCGCAGCAGUCGCGAAAACUUUGCAAUACACGAAAGUGUGACAGGGCCAUCCCGAGUGCCAUCCGCUGAGGACGGCUUUUACUCAGUCUAGAAAGCUGGGAGAAUAAGGAGAGGGCAAGUCUGGUGUCAGCCGCCGCGGUAAUACCAGCUCUCCGAGUGGUGUGGAUGCUUAUUGGGCCUAAAGCAUUCGUAGCCGGCUGGGCAAGUCCCCUGUCAAAUCCACCGAUUUAAUCGUUGGAUCGCGGGGGAUACUGUUCGGCUAGGGGACGGGAGAGGCCGACGGUAUUCUCGGGGUAGGGGUGAAAUCCUAUAAUCCCGGGAGGACCACCAGUGGCGAAGGCUGUCGGCUAGAACGCGCCCGACGGUGAGGGAUGAAAGCUGGGGGAGCGAACCGGAUUAGAUACCCGGGUAGUCCCAGCUGUAAACGAUGCAGGCUAGGUGUUUGGGCGGCCACGUGCCGCUCUAGUGCCGCAGGGAAGCUGUUAAGCCUGCCGCCUGGGGAGUACGGCCGCAAGGCUGAAACUUAA